UAGAGCUUAUUUUUAAUGCUGCCAAGUGACAAGCACAUCUUCAGUGACAGACACCAACAAGGUCUCCCUACAGUCAACUUUUACUUAACAGAGCAUAACUACAUGCAAGUUCUGCAUUACCUCGCACCCACCUCUCUCACACUGUCUGAAUCGCAGUCAGUAUUCUUCAGUGUGUACAAUUUGCUGCUGCUGUCCUAUGCUUUCAAUGAGACAGGGAAGAGAUGGUUGUCUUUUGCACCUUUCUGACAAAAAAAACCAAAGGAGCUCUGUCACAAGGUCCUUAUCUGUUCUGAACAGCAGCAACGGGUGAAGCAGUGUGAAAGGGAGAAAAGCCAUUUCAAAGGAGAGGCAGAACUGUAAUGGAAAAAAGGAGCAAAAACAAAACCAAAGAGGAGACAGUACAAAAAAAAAGAGAGAGAGAAAAGGUAAAAGGAAAUAAAAUGUUAUAGAGACUGGAAGGAAUGGAUUUUAAUCAAGCAUAUUACUGUAAAGAAUGGGCAGAGACAAAGCCAGACAGGAAGUUGCAAAUUCUCAAAUUUUGCUUCAAUAAGUUGCUGCUGUUAAAAAACAUAACUAGAUCAGAGAAAUGAACCGUGGGAAUAUUAUUUUAAGAACUUGUUGGUGAACUGGCAUAAACGUCUGUCUUGGUUGUCAAAUAUCAGAUGUUGAAGAUGUUAGCUAAAAUAUUUGCAGAAAUAAAAUAUAUAUAAAAUAGGGACAAAAGUAGAGGUGUUACUCCGUUAGAACAUAUCAGGUGCAGUACUAAGUAAUAACUUUUGGGUUUGGGGUUUUUUUUUUCUGUUUGUCUGGGCUUUUGUAGUCCAAUGGCUACUUCUUCUACCUAGGCAUAUAUUUAACAAGAUUAAAACCACAAUCAACAGAUCAGGAAGCAGAGAGCUAUAAGGGCAACCAGCACAUGGGUCCAGUAUGCAGUGCAGAAGUGCAGUGGAGAAGCAUAGGUUAAGAUCUUCGACUUUUCUUGAACUGCAGCAAAAAGGAGCCCUGAGGACAGGAACCCCAUGACCCUCUGCAGUGGUGGCCAGUCAGACUGGCUGUCUGAUCCACUGUACGAAGGAUCACUGCAGAAUUGUUUGCAUAAUAAUACUAUUGACUGCCCAGAUCUCAUGUAUUUUCUAGUAAGCAAACUUUUGGGUUGAGGUGGUUGGUAAUAUGAUCUCUCCUGUAGUUUAAAUAUUUGUGCCUAACUCCUAAUUUGGGGUAUAGUUGAGGUUAUCUAUAUUUGUAAUUCCUAUCAAGUCAGGAUCAAGUCUACAAAGGAAGCUGCAAAUGUAGCACUUAAGUCCAGGGAGGUAAGCCAAAUGAAAUCUUACUCAAGAAGCAAAGUUCUUUGUAUCCAGCCAGCUGCCAUGCCGUAUACCCUCUAGUAUGCGUAAAGAGAAAUGAAGCGUUAUACCACAUUUACGUUACACUUGCUUGGAUUAACAUCACCAACAGAUGAGAACCGUGUUAUGUAUCGUAUAUGAUUUUUGGUGUGAGAUCUCAGCUACAAAUCUCAUUUAAUGCAUGUUGUAACAAAGUGUUUUGCUGUAAUGUAUGCUAUCAUUCCAAUAAAGAUUACAGAUCCCA